rnacentral:rRNA from 1 species
UACGAAGGGGGCUAGCGUUGUUCGGAAUUACUGGGCGUAAAGGGCGCGUAGGCGGCGCGAUAAGUUGGGCGUGAAAGGCCCGGGCUCAACCCGGGGACUGCGCUUGAUACUGUCGCGCUGUGAGUCCGGGAGAGGAUGGCGGAAUUCCCAGUGUAGAGGUGAAAUUCGUAGAUAUCGGGAGUAACACCAGUGGCGAAGGCGACUACCUGGCCUGUUCUUGACGCUGAGGCGCGAAAGCUAGGGGAGCAAACGGG